rnacentral:sRNA from 1 species
ACUUUUAGCGCACGGCUCUCUCCCAAGAGCCAUUUCCCUAGACCGGGCACAGGAAUCGUGUUCGGUCUUUUUUU